rnacentral:lncRNA from 1 species
UCUCAUUGGAAAACCCCAAGUUAAGCGAAAAUCAUUCAUUUACUCUUUGAAAAUCCUUCAUUUUAGCGAAAACAAUCCAUUUUUUCUUUGAAAAUCCCCCAUUUAACCUGAAAAUCACCUGUUUUCUCUUCGAAAAUUCCCCAUUUCACCCCAAAAUCAUGCCGUUUCUCUUUGAAAAUCCCCCAUUUAACCCGAAAAUCACUCAUUUUCUCUUCGAAAAUCCAUCAUUUACGCAGAAAUCACCCAUUUUCUCUUCAAAAACCCCCCAUUUAUCCCCAAAAUCACUCAUUUUCUCUUCGAAAAUCCGUCAUUUACGCAAAAAUCACCCAUUUUCUCUUCAAAAAUCCCCCAUUCAUCCCCAAAAUCAUGCAUUUUCUCUUCAAAAAUCCCUCAUUUACGCAAAAAUCACCCAUUUUCUCUUCAGAAAUCCCCCAUUUAUCCCCCAAAUCAUGCAUUUUCUCUUCGAAAAAAACCGAUUUAAGCAAAAAUCACUCAUUUUCUCUUAAAAAAAUUCCCAUUUAACCCAAAAAUCACGCAUUUUUUCUUUGAAAGUCCCCUAUUUAACCCGAAAAUCACCCGUUUUAUUUUCGAAAAACCCCAUUUACGCAAAAAACAACCAUUUUCCCUUCAAAAGUUAUCCAUUUAACUAGAAAAUCAUGCAUUUUCUCUUUGAAAAUCCCCCAUUUAACCCCAAAAUCACCCAUUUUCCCUUCGAGAAUCCAUCAUUUACACAAAAAUCACCCAUUUUCUCUUUGAUAAUCCCUCAUUUUAGUGAAAAUCUCCCAUUUUCUCAUUGAAAAACCCCAAGUUAAGCGAAAAUCAUUCAUUUACUCUUUGAAAAUCCUUCAUUUUAGCGAAAAUAAUCCAUUUUUUCUUUGAAAAUCGCCCAUUUACCACAAAAAUCACCUGUUUUCUUUUCAAAAAUCCCCCAUUUAUGCAGAAAUCACCCAUUUUCUCUUUGAAAAUCCCCUAUUUAACCCGAAAACCACCCGUUUUCUUUUCGAAAAUCCCCCAUUUACGCAAAAAACAACCAUUUUCUCUUCAAAAAUUAUCCAUUUAACUAGAAAAUCAUGCAUUUUCUCUUUGAAAAUCCCCCAUUUAACCCCAAAAUCACCCAUUUUCCCUUCGAGAAUCCCUCAUUUACGCAAAAAUCACUCAUUUUCUCUUUGAAAAUCCCCCAUUUAAGCAAAAAUCACCCGUUUUCUUUUCGAAAAUUCCCCAUUUAACCCCAAAAUCACCCAUUUUCUCUUUGAAAAUCCCCCAUUUUCCACAAAAAUCACCCAUUUUCUCUUCGAAAAUCCCUCAUUUACGCAAAAAUCACUUAUUUUCUCUUUGAUAAUCCCUCAUUUUAGUGAAAAUCACCCAUUUUCUCAUUGAAAAUCCCCAAUUUAAGCAAAAAUCAUUCAUUUACUCUUUGAAAAUCCUUCAUUUUAGCGAAAAUAAUCCAUUUUUCUUUGAAAAUCUUCCAUUUAGCACAAUAAUCACCCGUUUUCUUUUUAAAAAUCCCUCAUUUAUGCAGAAAUCACCCAUUUUCUCUUCAAAAAUCCCCGAUUUAAGCGAAAAUCACCCAUUUUCUCUUUGAAAAUCCCCCAUUUAACCUGAAAA